UACGGGGGGGGCAAGCGUUGUUCGGAAUUACUGGGCGUAAAGGGUUCGUAGGUGGCUUGUUAAGUCAGACGUGAAAUCCCUAGGCUCAACCGGGGAACUGCGUCUGAGACUGAUGAGCUCGAGUGCAGGAGAGGAACGCGGAAUUCCAGGUGUAGCGGUGAAAUGCGUAGAUAUCUGGAGGAACACCGGUGGCGAAGGCGGCGUUCUGGACUGCAACUGACACUGAGGAACGAAAGCCAGGGGAGCAAACGGG
rnacentral:rRNA from 1 species